GGUGUGGUGGUGCACACCUGUAGUUGUAACUGCUCGGGAGGUGGUAACUACUCAGGAGUGUGAGGCUACAGUGAGCUAUGAUCAUGCCAUUGCACUCCAGCAUAGGCAACAGAACUCUAAAAAAAAAAAAAAAAACCCAGAAAGCUGAGGUCCAGGGAACAGCAGUCAUGCCAUGUCAUUGUUGCCAUCACCAUGAUCACCAUCAUUGUCAACCAUUUAUCUAACACCUACCCAGUGUGCGUGCUGAGGCUGGAGAGAAGGAUAAGAGGUGGUCCUGCCCUCGGGGCUUGCAGUCGGCUGGGAUGAUAAGUCCUGCAGAAAUUUAGUGGCCGAGCUGCCACUAGAGCUCAGGUCUCUCUCUGGACUCCCAGACCAGGGCUUAUCCUGUUAUAUUGUGGCCUCUUCUAUUCUAUCGCCACAGUCACACGGGGAGAGGAGUCUGUCGGGAAAACAUGCACCCUCUACAAAGGAGUGAUUCAGAUGACCUGGUCUCAGCUUCCAGCUCCUCUGCUCUCCAGCCGUUCACACACUCCCCAUCACAGGAAGAUUUGUUAAAAGCCAACCAAGAAAGAGAGAGAAUUUGAGAUCCUGCACAAACAAUCCUAGAAGGUGCCAGAAGCUGCCAGAAGCUUCUUCUUUUCCAAGAAGCCACCACUUUGACUGCAGCCACAAAUGACUGCCCACUCCUGCAGGAAGACAGGAGGACCCCAGAGCCCUAUGUGCUCUGCCCCUGUCUACAGACCUGCCUCUCACCGCAUGCCCACAGUCACCACAUGUCAGCCAUGGCAAACUACCUGGGGACCCCCAAGCGACCUGCUUGUGGGGCUCUGCACCCUGGUGCCAGUUCUUCUUUUAGCCUGGGGUCCUCCACCUGCCCUCUGCCUCAAUGGCUCAGUAGAGCCUUCAGAGCUCACAUAUCAGCUCCUCCAAAAAGUGGUGCCGGACCCUGCCUCCCGUCCCUGAAAACCGAGCUUGCACUGUCACAUUUAACAUGUUGUGCCUGACCUAUUCUUCUACACUUCUGUCCUCGUGACGUGGGGUCUGCUGGAGGCCAGUGAAUGUGAAUUUUAUCUUUGUACUUGCAGGGCACAACACGACACUAGGUAUGGAUUAGAUGCUCAGUAACAAUUUUAAACUGGUUUAAAAGUAAUUCCAACAUUGCAGAAGGGUCUAAGGCAAAAAAUGAAUAAAAGUUUCCUGCCACUUCUCAAUCUCAUUCUUCAGAGGCAUCCACAUACACGAGGAAAGCAGUCUUCUAGAUAUUGACUACGCCUGAAUGACCAUACUACAUGUGCACUCAGGCACCGAGCACAUAAGCAUAUGCACAGGACCAUAUAAGCCACGCUGUCCCAUGCUUGCCCUUUUCACUUUAGCAAUGUAUCUUUUUUUUUUUUUUUAAGAGGCAGAGUCUUGCUUUAUCACUCAGGCUGAAGUGCAGUGGUGCAAUCAUAGCUCACUAUAGCCUUGAGCUCCUGGCUUUGAGUGAUCCUCCCACCUCAGCCUCCUGAGUAGUUGGGAUUAUAGGUGAGCCACCAUGCCUGUCCAGCAAUUGAGCUUUAUUUUAUUUUUUUGAGAUGGAGUCUCCCUCUGUUGCCCAGGCUAGAGUGCAGAGGUACAGUGCAACCUCUGCUUCCUGGGUUCAAGCGAUUCUCCUGCCUCAGCCUCCUGAGUAGCUGGGAUUACAGUUGUCCACCACCAUGCCUCUCUAAUUUUUUGUAUUUUUAGUAGAGAUGGGGUUUAACCAUGUUGGCCAGGCUGGUCUUGAACUCCUGACCUUAAGUGAUCCUCCUGCUUCGGCCUCCCAAAGUGCUGGGAUUACAAGUGUGAGCCACCAUGCCUGGCCUGGCCAGCAAUAUAGCUUUUAAAACUUUCCAUGGCAACAUGUAUAGAUCUACAUUAAUCUAUCGAUGCAUAAUAUACCAUAAUAGAAGUCUAGAAAAGUCUAUUUAAA
rnacentral:lncRNA from 1 species